rnacentral:rRNA from 1 species
UACGGGGGGAGCAAGCGUUGUUCGGAUUUACUGGGCGUAAAGGGCGCGUAGGCGGCCACCGCAAGUCGACUGUGAAAUCUCCGGGCUUAACCCGGAAAGGUCAGCCGAUACUGCGGGGCUAGAGUGCAGAAGGGGCAACUGGAAUUCUCGGUGUAGCGGUGAAAUGCGUAGAUAUCGAGAGGAACACCUGCGGCGAAAGCGGCUUCCUGGUCCGACACCGACGUUCAGGCACGAAAGCGUGGGGAGCAAACAGG